rnacentral:tRNA from 1 species
UGACUCAGUAGCUCAGUUGGUUAGAGCAGGGGAUUCAUAAGUCCAAGGUCGCAGGUUCAAGUCCUGCCUGAGUCAA